AGACUGGCUAAGGAGUCCAUGUCGCAUGUGAUUACGGUGGUGAUAUGCUUUUAUAUUCAUAAAUAUUUAAAGCUUGAGUAUCAGGAUUUGUUUCUUUCGCCCGACUUGAAACUACAGAUGGGUUGACAGCAACACAAGUGAAGAUGGCGACCACUUCUUAUGAUAUAUGGCUGGCAACAGAAGCCACUACCUUUCUAGACUUGAUGACAACAAAGUGUAGGUGGCGCCCUCUACUAGUGAAGUGUCGAACUGUAAGAAAGGAAGGUUGGAAAAAAGGUCCAGUAUCUAAUGAAGUAGGAUAGAUUCGCAAUUAUGAAAUCGCUGGCGUUGAUGUGUCUCCUUGUUGCGGUUGCCGUCGCUGUUCUGCCGAUUAAAAAACGUGGACCGAACAUACACAAAAUUCACAACGUCCAAGAUAUUCUAAAGAUGAAGACGCUUCAACGCCGCGAUAAUGCUGGAGAUGAUAUAAACGGCAAUGACGCUGACGACCUACUUUUAAGAGUGGCUAGGGAUGACGCUGGACAAGGAUUCGGUGGCGGGGGUAAUUACGGUGGCUGGGGUAAUUACGGUGGAUGAGAACGUAUGCGUAUGACCAAGACGACGUUUGUAUGAGUGCAUCAACAUACUGUAUUUCCGCUUUUCUGUAUUGUUGAUGUAGUAGUAAAAGAUCGCAGCAUG